rnacentral:rRNA from 1 species
ACACGUAGGAGGCGAACGUUAUCCGGAUUUACUGGGCGUAAAGCGCGUGUAGGUGGUUCUGUAAGUAGGGCGUGAAAGCUCCUGGCUCAACUGGGAGAGGCCGUUCUAAACUGCAGAGCUAGAGGAUGGUAGAGGGAGGUGGAAUUCCAGGUGUAGCGGUGGAAUGCGCAGAUAUCUGGAGGAACACCAGUGGCGAAGGCGGCCUCCUGGACCAUUCCUGACACUCAGACGCGAAAGCUAGGGUAGCAAACGGGAUUAGAGACCCCGGUAGUCCUAGCCCUAAACGAUGUAGACUAGGCGUCGGUGGUUUAAUCACCAUCGGUGUCCAAGCUAACGCGAUAAGUCUACCGCCUGGGGACUACGGCCGCAAGGUUAAA